rnacentral:tRNA from 20 species
GCCGACUUAGCUCAUCAGGUAGAGCAGUUGAUUUGUAAUCAUCAGGUGGCGGGUUCGAGUCCUGCAGUCGGCACCA